UGAAAUUAGGUGGUGCACGUGUGGCAUGAUUGCGUCCUUGGGAGGUCAUCCGGACAACGUCAUGAGUAUGACGACCCUCGUGUCCCCCGGGCACCUCACCUCACCUCACCCCACCUCACCUCACCUCACCUCACCUCACCUCACCUCACCCCACCUCACCUCACCUCACCUCACCUCACCUCACCCCACCUCAACUCAACUCAACUCAACUCAACUCAACUCAACUCAUCUCACCUCAACUCACCCCACCUCACCCCACCUCACCUCACCUCACCUCACCUCACCCCACCUCACCUCACCUCACCUCACCUCACCUCACCUCACCUCACCUCACCUCACCUCAACUCACCUCACCUCACCUCACCUCACCUCACCUCACCUCACCUCACCCCACCUCACCCCACCUCACCCCACCUCACCUCACCUCACCUCACCUCACCUCACCUCACCUCACCUCACCUCACCUCACCUCACCUCACCUCACCUCACCUCACCUCACCUCACCUCAC
rnacentral:lncRNA from 1 species